CUACCAGACUCCUACGGGAGGCAGCAGUGAGGAAUAUUGGUCAAUGGCCGAGAGGCUGAACCAGCCAAGUCGCGUGAGGGAAGACGGCCCUACGGGUUGUAAACCUCUUUUGUCGGGGAGCAAAGCGAGUCACGUGUGACUCAUUGAGAGUACCCGAAGAAAAAGCAUCGGCUAACCCCGUGCCAGCAGCCGCGGUAAUACGGAGGAUGCGAGCGUUAUCCGGAUUUAUUGGGUUUAAAGGGUGCGUAGGCGGAGUGUCAAGUCAGCGGUAAAAUUUCGGGGCUCAACCCCGUCGUGCCGUUGAAACUGGCAGUCUCGAGUUGGAGAGAAGUAUGCGGAAUGCGCGGUGUAGCGGUGAAAUGCAUAGAUAUCGCGCAGAACUCCGAUUGCGAAGGCAGCCUACUAAACUGCCACUGACAUUGAUGCUCGAAAGUGUGGGUAUCAAACAGGAUUAGAUACCCCAGUACC
rnacentral:rRNA from 1 species